AUUGAACGCUGGCGGCAGGCCUAACACAUGCAAGUCGAACGAGUGGCGGACGGGUGAGUAAUGUCUGGGAAACUGCCCGAUGGAGGGGGAUAACUACUGGAAACGGUAGCUAAUACCGCAUACCAUCGGAUGUGCCCAGAUGGGAUUAGCUAGUCGGUGGGGUAACGGCUCACCUAGGCGACGAUCCCUAGCUGGUCUGAGAGGAUGACCAGCAAAACUGGAACUGAGACACGGUCCAGACUCCUACGGGAGGCAGCAGUGGGGAAUAUUGCACAAUGGGCGCAAGCCUGAUGCAGCCAUGCCGCGUGUAUGAAGAAGGCCUUCGGGUUGUAAAGUACUUUCAGCGGGGAGGCGUUACCCGCAGAAGAAGCACCGGCUAACUCCGUGCCAGCAGCCGCGGUAAUAC
rnacentral:rRNA from 1 species